UGGGGAAUCUUCCGCAAUGGACGAAAGUCUGACGGAGCAACGCCGCGUGAGUGAUGACGGCCUUCGGGUUGUAAAGCUCUGUUAAUCGGGACGAAUGGUUCUUGUGCGAAUAGUGCAAGGAUUUGACGGUACCGGAAUAGAAAGCCACGGCUAACUACGUGCCAGCAGCCGCGGUAAUACGUAGGUGGCAAGCGUUGUCCGGCAUUAUUGGGCGUAAAGCGCGCGCAGGCGGAUUGGUCAGUCUGUCUUAAAAGUUCGGGGCUUAACCCCGUGAUGGGAUGGAAACUGCCAAUCUAGAGUAUCGGAGAGGAAAGUGGAAUUCCUAGUGUAGCGGUGAAAUGCGUAGAUAUUAGGAAGAACACCAGUGGCGAGGGCGACUUUCUGGACGAAAACUGACGCUGAGGCGCGAAAGCCAGGGGAGCGAACGGG
rnacentral:rRNA from 1 species